AUUGAACGCUGGCGGCAUGCCUUACACAUGCAAGUCGAACGGUAACGGGCCUUCGGGUGCCGACGAGUGGCGAACGGGUGAGUAAUACAUCGGAACGUGCCCGAUCGUGGGGGAUAACGAGGCGAAAGCUUUGCUAAUACCGCAUACGAUCUACGGAUGAAAGCAGGGGACCGCAAGGCCUUGCGCGGACGGAGCGGCCGAUGGCAGAUUAGGUAGUUGGUGGGAUAAAAGCUUACCAAGCCGACGAUCUGUAGCUGGUCUGAGAGGAUGAUCAGCCACACUGGGACUGAGACACGGCCCAGACUCCUACGGGAGGCAGCAGUGGGGAAUUUUGGACAAUGGGCACAAGCCUGAUCCAGCCAUGCCGCGUGCAGGAUGAAGGCCUUCGGGUUGUAAACUGCUUUUGUACGGAACGAAAAGCCUUCUUUUAAUACAGGAGGGUCAUGACGGUACCGUAAGAAUAAGCACCGGCUAACUACGUG
rnacentral:rRNA from 1 species